rnacentral:rRNA from 1 species
ACGGGUGCGUAACGCGUAUGCAACCUACCUUGAUCAGGGGGAUAGCCCGGAGAAAUCCGGAUUAACACCGCAUGAAGACACAGGACCGCAUGGUUCAAUGUCCAAACAUUUAUGGGAUCAAGAUGGGCAUGCGUGCCAUUAGCUAGUUGGCGGGGUAACGGCCCACCAAGGCGACGAUGGCUAGGGGAUCUGAGAGGAUGGCCCCCCACACUGGUACUGAGACACGGACCAGACUCAUACGGGAGGCAGCAGUAAGGAAUAUUGGUCAAUGGGCGCAAGCCUGAACCAGCCAUGCCGCGUGCAGGAAGACGGCCCUCCGGGUUGUAAACUGCUUUUAUACCGGAAUAAACCUCCCUACGUGUAGGGAGCUGAAUGUACGGUAGGAAUAAGGAUCGGCUAACUCCGUGCCAGCAGCCGCGGUAAUACGGAGGAUCCGAGCGUUAUCCGGAUUUAUUGGGUUUAAAGGGUGCGUAGGCGGCCUGUUAAGUCAGGGGUGAAAGACGGUGGCUCAACCAUCGCAGUGCCCUUGAUACUGACGGGCUUGAAUUAACUAGAGGCAGGCGGAAUGUGACAAGUAGCGGU